rnacentral:rRNA from 1 species
GACGAAGGGGGCUAGCGUUGUUCGGAAUUACUGGGCGUAAAGGGCGCGUAGGCGGCCGAUCAAGUCGGGGGUGAAAGCCUGUGGCUCAACCACAGAAUUGCCUUCGAUACUGUUUGGCUUGAGACCGGAAGAGGUAAGUGGAACUGCGAGUGUAGAGGUGAAAUUCGUAGAUAUUCGCAAGAACACCAGUGGCGAAGGCGGCUUACUGGUCCGGUUCUGACGCUGAGGCGGCGAAAAGCGUGGGGAGCAAACAGG